CAAAUUGCCUCACUUGUUUUUAUGAUGUGUAUCGGUUGAAGUUUCAAGUUGUUUAUUCUGUUUGGAAAUAAAAAAAAGAUCUAGAGAGACAAAUGUAGUUUAUUAAAGUCAAUAGAGUUAAUUAUUUUAAAACUAGUACAUGUUUGAAUUCAAUAUUAUUACAUGCUUCUUGUUUUUUCUAGUUUUAAGUAGCAUAUGAGAUUUUGUCAAUGUUUGGGUAUAAUAAUCUAGUUUUUAAUGAGAUUUUGUGAAUGAAGGAUUCUGAGUACCCUUUCAUUUUUUGGACUUCCCCAUUGUAGUUCUCACUCACCUUAGUUUCUCCAUUCCCACCAUUUGAUUGGAGAUUUUUUUUGUUAUUACUCCUUAUAGGUUUCUUAGGAAGAGUUCGAUAUAUAUGUGACUGGCUCAUGGAAUUAUGGUAUUUGGUGCCAUACUGCAUUGGGAUAUGAAUCUUCUUGCAAUCAAAUAACUGCAGAAGAACUGCGGUCUUCCAAAAUAUGGACAGCUUUGUCCUCAUGGUCUUCUCUUUUCAUUUCAUGGAAUCAAGUGUUGAAGUUCUUGUUUGUGUUCUGUAUUUUGUUGAGACGUUGAUUUAGUUAUUCAUUGACUGUACGUAUGUGUUAUGGAUUCUUUGUAGGUUCAACUGGAGUCGACAAGUUCAUGAGUUUUGUUUCAAAUAUCAUUUCCAGAAACGAACAUUCUCGGUUGGUCCAGUCAAAUAUAUUCGAAUGCUAUUUAAGAUAUCUUUUGAUUAAGAGUUAGUAUUUCGUACAUGUGGAUUACUGAAACUUGUAUUAAGAUGUACAAAUAUUAUAAAUCGUAUUAUAGUGUAUAUAUAUUAAAGUGUUGGCUAUUUUCUUGUA